AACAUGGCGUUUUGGGAGAAAAUAGCACAGUACAUGACGGUGGGGGGAUUACAUGCUUUCGACGUUUAUGUGUUAACAAAGGCAAAAUGUCCAAGUGCUGUAUGGAGCGAGUUAGGGGAAUUUAAUAACUCUGCAUGGGCAUCUGUCCGCUUCACAUCCACGCUUGAGAUGGAAGAAGCAGUGGAAAAGUUCAGGAAGACCGUUUAUAAAGCUCUAGGUACAGGUUCCAAUCUGUAUUCAUUAUAUCUUACCCGCCAACAACGCGAAGAUGAACCUUUUGAUAGGUAUAUUGACGAGAAAUACAGAAAUACUCCACAUAUGGUAAUGCAGGUGACAAUCCAAGUAAAGAUAACCCCGAUUUCCUGAUGAAUGUACUCGAGGGAAGUGUAGCUUUAUACCGAGACACAGCGGGUAAGGCUGGUUUUCGACCGAAGGAUUGUAGCGACUUAAUUUUGUGGGCUGCAUGUUUAAAUAAAUACCAUAGUGGUGUAAACAAGGGGGGCGCAAGAUCAGGUCUGAGGUCACAUUCUCACAAUAAAGCACCCCUCCACAUGGCUCCGGUACAGGAGAUAGCUCCUUGCAGCAACUGUGGGAGAUCAGGGCAUAGCCAGGCGGACUGUCACAGAGGGAGAAGGACCCAAUGUAAGAUCUGUCACAAAUAUGGACACGUUGCCCAGGCAUGCAGAUCUGGGAAUAACCAGUCAGAACGAGGUAGCCAGCUCCAAGACAUGUCAAAAGACGAACUCGUUAGAUUAAUUAAAUCGCUUGAAACCUCAGAAUAGGAUACAUCGGCCCCCAUUGCAUCAGGUGUUGAGGUUUCGUUCUAAUAGCAUAAGGACGUGGACACCAUAAGUCCCUAAAUAUUCUUAAAUUAUGAGCCCAAGAUAAGGGAGUAACAGUAAAUAAAUAAAUAAAUAAAUAAAUAAAAAGGGUAGCACACAUAUGAUUGACCCCUAGUGGCACAUCCUAACACCAUCCUUUCCACAGUUUCUCAUGUAAAAUACACGCUGAGCAAUGUUGGCUUCAAGCUGACACUGAGGUAAUGGAUCGUUUUUACUUCUCAAAGUAGCAUCUUGCAUGAGACUUUUGUUAAUACUGUGAAUGUACCUGUGGGUGAUCUGUGGGGUUGCAACCAAGGCCGUGUAAAUACACCAGAGAUGGAGGCAUAAGGAUUUUAAAAUGGUGUGUGACUUUUGAACUUGUAGGAGACUCCUGACUAGUGCAGUAGCCCCCAAUACAAAAUGGGGGACUGGUACAAGAAAAUAACAUUGGUUAAAAAAAAAAAAAAACAACAA